CUCAAAUUUGAAAUCUGGCUCUUUCAGAGUCCGAGUUGUAAUUUGAAGAAGGUAUCUUUGGGUCUGGCUCUUGUCUAUGUUUCUUGGAACAGAACGUCACAGAGGGUGAGAAUCCCGUGCGAUGAGAUGAUCCAGGCCUAUGUAAAGUUCCUUCGAAGAGUCGAGUUGUUUGGGAAUGCAGCUCUAAGUGGGUGGUAAAUUCCAUCUAAAGCUAAAUAUUGGCGAGAGACCGAUAGCGAACAAGUACAGUGAUGGAAAGAUGAAAAGAACUUUGAAAAGAGAGUGAAAAAGUACGUGAAAUUGUUGAAAGGGAAGGGCUUGAGAUCAGACUUGGUAUUUUGUAUGUUACUUCUUCGGGGGUGGCCUCUACAGUUUAUCGGGCCAGCAUCAGUUUGGGCGGUAGGAGAAUUGCGUUGGAAUGUGGCACGGCUUCGGUUGUGUGUUAUAGCCUUCGUCGAUACUGCCAGCCUAGACUGAGGACUGCGGUUUAUACCUAGGAUGUUGGCAUAAUGAUCUUAAGUCGCCCGUCUUGAA
rnacentral:rRNA from 1 species